rnacentral:rRNA from 1 species
GAUUUCUGGCGGAUCGAACUUGGCCGGCCACGGUUUCGUGUGUUAGUGCUUUGUUUUUUCGCCAUCCUUCCAAUGGCUAUUCAUCCUUCUUCAUUGAGGUGGUGAGUGGUAUUGGAUCUUUUACUUUGAAAAAAUUAGAGUGUUUAAAGCAGGCUUUUGCUAUGAAUACAUUAGCAUGGAAUAAUAAUCUAGGACUUCGGUUCUAUUUUGUUGGUUUCUAUAACUGAAGUAAUGAUUGAUAGGGAUAGUUGGGGGUGCUAGUAUUGGCCGGCCAGAGGUGAAAUUCUUGGAUUCGGUCAAGACUAACUUAUGCGAAAGCAUU